CUAGCCGCGGUAAUACAGAGGGUGCAAGCGUUAAUCGGAAUUACUGGGCGUAAAGCGCGCGUAGGUGGUUUGUUAAGUUGGAUGUGAAAUCCCCGGGCUCAACCUGGGAACUGCAUCCAAAACUGGCAAGCUAGAGUAUGGUAGAGGGUGGUGGAAUUUCCUGUGUAGCGGUGAAAUGCGUAGAUAUAGGAAGGAACACCAGUGGCGAAGGCGACCACCUGGACUGAUACUGACACUGAGGUGCGAAAGCGUGGGGAGCAAACAGGAUUAGAUACCCGGGUAGUCCCUGUCUCUUAUACAC
rnacentral:rRNA from 1 species